GACGAACGCUGGCGGCGUGCUUAACACAUGCAAGUCGAACGGAAAGGCCCUGCUUUUGUGGGGUGCUCGAGUGGCGAACGGGUGAGUAACACGUGAGUAACCUGCCCUUGACUUUGGGAUAACUUCAGGAAACUGGGGCUAAUACCGGAUAGGAGCUCCUGCUGCAUGGUGGGGGUUGGAAAGUUUCGGCGGUUGGGGAUGGACUCGCGGCUUAUCAGCUUGUUGGUGGGGUAGUGGCUUACCAAGGCUUUGACGGGUAGCCGGCCUGAGAGGGUGACCGGCCAAAUUGGGACUGAGGUACGGCCCAGACUCCUACGGGAGGCAGCAGGGGGGAAUAUUGCACAGUGGGCGGAAGCCUGAUGCAGCAGCGCCGGGUGCGGAAUGACGGCCUUCGGGUUGUAAACCGCUUUCGCCUGUGACGAAGCGUGAGUGACGGUAAUGGGUAAAGAAGCACCGGCUAACUACGUG
rnacentral:rRNA from 1 species